rnacentral:rRNA from 1 species
UACCUGCAGCUCAAGUGGUGAUCAUUAUUAUUGGACCUAAAACGUCCGUAGCCUGUUUAGUAAAUGCCUGGGUAAAUCGUGUAGCUUAACUAUACGACUUCCGGGUAGACUGCUAAACUUGAGACCGGGAGAGGCUAGAGGUACUCCUGGGGUAGAGGUGAAAUUCUGUAAUCCUAGGGGGACCACCAGUGGCGAAGGCGUCUAGCUAGAACGGGUCUGACGGUGAGGGACGAAGCCCUGGGGCACAAACCGGAUUAGAUACCCGGGUAGUCCAGGGUGUAAACGCUGCUUGCUUGAUGUUAGUUGGGCUCCGAGCCCAACUAGUGUCGGAGAGAAGUUGUUAAGCAAGCUGCCUGGGAAGUACGGUCGCAAGGCUGAAACUUAAAGGAAUUGGCGGGGGAGCACAGCAACGGGUGGAGCGUGCGGUUU